rnacentral:rRNA from 1 species
UACGUAGGGACCAAGCGUUGUUCGGAUUUACUGGGCGUAAAGGGCGCGUAGGCGGCGCGGUAAGUCACUUGUGAAAUCUCUGAGCUUAACUCAGAACGGCCAAGUGAUACUGCAGUGCUAGAGUGUGGAAGGGGCAAUCGGAAUUCUUGGUGUAGCGGUGAAAUGCGUAGAUAUCAAGAGGAACACCUGAGGCGAAGACGGGUUGCUGGGCCAACACUGACGCUGAUGCGCGAAAGCCAGGGGAGCAAACGGG